GAUGAACGCUAGCUACAGGCUUAACACAUGCAAGUCGAGGGACCGGCGCACGGGUGAGUAACACGUAUCCAACCUGCCCUUUACUCGGGGAUAGCCUUUCGAAAGAAAGAUUAAUACCCGAUGUAAAGGAUGGGGAUGCGUUCCAUUAGGUUGUUGGUGAGGGAACGCCUCACCAAGCCUUCGAUGGAUAGGGGUUCUGAGGGGAAGUGCACCCACAUUGGGACUGAGACACGGUCCAAACUCCUACGGGAGGCAGCAGUGAGGAAUAUUGGUCAAUGGGCGUUAGCAUGAACCAGCCAAGUAGCGUGAAGGAUGAAGGGUUAUGGGUAGUAAACUUCUUUUAUAAAAGAAUAUGUAUUAUAUGAAUAAGAAUCGGCUAACUCCGUGCCAGCAGCGGAGGUAAUA
rnacentral:rRNA from 1 species